GGAGCGACGCCGCGUGAGCGAAGAAGGCCUUCGGGUCGUAAAGCUCUGUUGUGAGGGACGAAGGAGCGCCGUUCGAAGAGGGCGGCGCGGUGACGGUACCUCACGAGGAAGCCCCGGCUAACUACGUGCCAGCAGCCGCGGUAAUACGUAGGGGGCGAGCGUUGUCCGGAAUUAUUGGGCGUAAAGCGCGCGCAGGCGGUUCCUUAAGUCUGAUGUGAAAGCCCACGGCUCAACCGUGGAGGGUCAUUGGAAACUGGGGGACUUGAGGGCAGGAGAGGAGAGCGGAAUUCCACGUGUAGCGGUGAAAUGCGUAGAGAUGUGGAGGAACACCAGUGGCGAAGGCGGCUCUCUGGCCUGCACCUGACGCUGAGGCGCGAAAGCGUGGGGAGCAAACAGGAUUAGAUACCCUGGUAGUCCACGCCGUAAACGAUGAGUGCUAAGUGUUAGAGGGGUCACACCCUUUAGUGCUGCAGCUAACGCGAUAAGCACUCCGCCUGGGGAGUACGGCCGCAAGGCUGAAACUCAAG
rnacentral:rRNA from 1 species